AUUGAACGCUGGCGGCAUGCUUUACACAUGCAAGUCGAACGGCAGCGCGGGCUUCGGCCUGGCGGCGAGUGGCGAACGGGUGAGUAAUGCAUCGGAACGUGCCCAGUAGUGGGGGAUAGCCCGGCGAAAGCCGGAUUAAUACCGCAUACGACCUGCGGGUGAAAGCGGGGGACCGAAAGGCCUCGAGCUAUUGGAGCGGCCGAUGUCGGAUUAGCUAGUUGGUGGGGUAAAGGCUUACCAAGGCGACGAUCCGUAGCUGGUCUGAGAAGACGACCAGCCACACUGGGCCUGAGACACGGCCCAGACUCCUACGGGAGGCAGCAGUGGGCAAUUUUGGACAAUGGAGGCAACCCUGAUACAGCCAUGCCGCGUGCGGGAAGAAGGCCUUCGGGUUGUAAAACGCUUUUGUUAGGGAAGAAGUCCUCUGGGAUAAUACCCCGGGGGGAUGACGGUACCGGAAGAAUAAGCACCGGCUAACUACGUG
rnacentral:rRNA from 1 species